CGCCGCCGCUACUCGCGGCGGUCGCAGCAGUGAGACUAGUGACAGCCACUGCUGAUAAUAAAGGCAGAUGUUGGCAAGGUCAGUGAUCCGCGCUCUGCGAUACGGCCCCCCCGCUGCAGCACCCGGAGUGCCCCCUGCACCGAGCCUCCAGCGUGGCUGCUUUUUUCUUCCUUCCCCCUCCCUUUUUUUUUAAAUUUUAAUUCAUUUUCGGCUUUCGCGCUUGCAGGCCCCGGGCGGCCGCGCUAGCUGCGGAGCUGCGCGGGGGGCGCGGCGCGGGGCGGAGCGGCGCGGAGCAGCGCGGGCGGCGGCGGGCGCGGAGGCAGGGCGGGCGCCGCCGCCUGUGUGCGCGGGGGCGGCUGCGGGAGCGUGUGGCCCCCCCGGGCCGGGGGAGCUCUGCGUUUCGUAACGCGCUGCCCGCCCAGCGCCGGCUGCGCGGUCUCACUGCGGGCAGAGCAGAGCUCGGCGGCGGCUGCGCUCGCCGGACGCCUGCAGCCCCCGCGGUAUCGUCGCCGAGGAGGGAGCCAGUGUUUUAUGGCCUCCUCUCUGCAGGACGCUGGUGAUAAAAAGUGAUCCAAACCAGUGAAUCCCAUCAGUACCCUCUGUUGAGAAGUUCCUGAGCGCGGAGGAGCCUGCAAGCCGGUGUCCUGAAAGCCCUGACCUGCAUGAAGGCAACAGCAUGUUCAAUCAACUCUUGCUCUUUUCUCUCAUGCUGGUGAACAUAGGAGGGAACUGUUUAAACCAGCGGACUGGUGCUAUUGUAUAAACAAAAACAAAAGUUCAACCCUUAUUAAAAGAAGUAAUAUAAAUGGUUACAAAAAAGGAUUGAGCACUACUGUUCUUCCUCAGGAAACUCCUACUUGCAUAGUUGGCAUUAUUUUAAUAACUUUUUUAAACUUAUUGAAGACUAGCUUCAUCUGAAAAGAGUACUGUAACUUGGUGUCGUGUACCUGGGAAGUGUGGAUUAUUCUCUUGUGUCCGAUUAUAUUUGCUUAGACUCUUUGGAGCUUGAGCGAAUACUCUUGAAGUGAAAACUGGAAGCAUUUAAACACUAGUUGAGGAGGAAAACAUCUUAGGCCACUGAAGGACUGCAAAAAUCAUAAGCAGAAGAAAUACAAGUUGCAGUUCUUUAGUGCUACAUAGUAGGAAACUACUAACCAUGUUUCCUUGGUAAGCAAACAAAUAUUUGUGAACUGUAUUCUAUUAUUACUUUUAUAAAUUUCGCCAUGUCAUCGGCUCUUGUUCUCAGGUAGAUUGCUGGCACCCUUUGCAUCUAAAAAGCUAGAAGAAACUACUUUGUGGGAGUAGCAAUUUCAGGAGAUUGCUUAGAAUCUCAAACUUGUUUAUUAGAUUUCUUUGAAUUACUGGGUGAUUUAUUUAGUACCUGGUAUUUUUUUCAGAAGUACAUAAUGUAAAUAAAUUUGAUUAGACAAGUGCUUGUAUACUUUCC
rnacentral:lncRNA from 1 species